AGCACUUGUGUAUGUUUUUGUUUAAUUUGUGAACAAAGACUUUUAAACAGGUAUAAAAAAAAAUAAAUCCUCUUUUGCAACCCAGAACUUAUUGUUCAAUAUGAGUAAUGAAUGAUACAUAUGAGAAAGAAUAUA
rnacentral:snoRNA from 1 species